UCGGAGAGUUUGAUUCUGGCUCAGAACGAACGCUGGCGGCGUGGAUAAGACAUGCAAGUCGAACGGGAAACAUUUGAUAGUAAUAUUGGAUGUUUCUAGUGGCGAAAGGGUGCGUAACACGUGGGUAAUCUACCGUAAAGUUGGGAAUAACUUCGAGAAAUCGAUGCUAAUACCGGAUGUGAUUUAUUUGGGACAUCCCGAAUAAAUUAAAGCUGGGGACCUUCGGGCCUGGCGCUUUACGAUGAGCCCGCGGCCUAUCAGCUUGUUGGUAAGGUAACGGCUUACCAAGGCUAAGACGGGUAGCCGGUCUGAGAGGAUGGUCGGCCACACUGGAACUGAGACACGGUCCAGACACCUACGGGUGGCAGCAGUCGAGAAUCAUUCACAAUGGGGGAAACCCUGAUGGUGCGACGCCGCGUGGGGGAUGAAGGUCUUCGGAUUGUAAACCCCUGUCAUUUGUGAACAACCGUUUAAAUUUAAUAGAUUUAAACCUGAUAGUAGCAAAAGAGGAAGGGACGGCUAACUCAGUGCCAGCAGCCGCGGUAAUACUGAGGUCCCAAGCGUUGUUCGGAUUUACUGGGCGUAAAGGGUGCGUAGGUGGCCAGGAAAGUUUGAUGUGAAAGCCCCGAGCUCAACUCGGGAAUUGCAUUGGAUACUACUUGGCUUGAGGAUCGGAGGGGAGACUGGAAUUCUCGGUGUAGCAGUGAAAUGCGUAGAUAUCGAGAGGAACACCAGUGGCGAAGGCGAGUCUCUGGACGAUUCCUGACACUGAGGCACGAAAGCUAGGGGAGCAAACAGGAUUAGAUACCCUGGUAGUCCUAGCCGUAAACGGUGCACACUUGCUGUAGGCGGAUUCGACCCCGUCUGUGGCGGAGCAAACGCGUUAAGUGUGCCGCCUGGGGAGUACGGUCGCAAGAUUAAAACUCAAAGAAAUUGACGGGGGCCUGCACAAGCGGUGGAGUAUGUGGCUUAAUUCGAUGCAACGCGAAGAACCUUACCUGGCCUUGACAUGCAUCUCUAAGUGUGUGAAAGCACAUGACCCCUCGGGGAAUUUGCACAGGUGCUGCAUGGCUGUCGUCAGCUCGUGUCGUGAGAUGUUGGGUUAAGUCCCGCAACGAGCGCAACCCUUAUGUUUUGUUGCCACUUUCGCUUCGGCGGAAAGCACUCUAAACAGACUGCCUCGUCUCAACGAGGAGGAAGGUGGGGAUGACGUCAAGUCAGUAUGGCCCUUACGGCCAGGGCUGCACACGUACUACAAUGCCCAGUACAAUGGGAAGCAAUACCGCGAGGUGGAGCAAAUCCUCAAAACUGGGCCCAGUUCAGAUUGUAGUCUGCAACUCGACUACAUGAAGUCGGAAUCGCUAGUAAUGGCGCAUCAGCUACGGCGCCGUGAAUACGUUCCCAGGCCUUGUACACACCGCCCGUCACAUCAUGAAAGCCGGUUGUACCCGAAGUCGCUGAGCCAACCCGCAAGGGAGGCAGGUGCCGAAGGUAUGGCUGGUAAUUGGGAUGAAGUCGUAACAAGGUAGCCGUAGGGGAACCUGCGGCUGGAUCACCUCCUUUCUAAGGAGUAGG
rnacentral:rRNA from 1 species